UACGUAGGGACCGAGCGUUGUCCGGAAUCAUUGGGCGUAAAGAGCUCGUAGGCGGUCUGUCGCGUCGGAUGUGAAAACCCAGGGCUCAACCCUGGGCCUGCAUUCGAUACGGGCAGACUAGAGUUCGGUAGGGGAGACUGGAAUUCCUGGUGUAGCGGUGAAAUGCGCAGAUAUCAGGAGGAACACCGGUGGCGAAGGCGGGUCUCUGGGCCGAAACUGACGCUGAGGAGCGAAAGCGUGGGGAGCAAACAGG
rnacentral:rRNA from 1 species